CAGCCCACAGAUCACAAAGCAGAAAGUUUCUAAGAUCACAGAAGUUCUGGCACCGUCUCCCAGUUACUACAAGAGGCCUGCUAGGCUGUUCCCACUGAGCUAUUCUUGGGACCUGGCAUCAGAGGGGAAGAUGGAGGGUCAGCAGCCGCUACCGUCAGGCAUGGUUGGGAGCCUCUGAGUGGGAUGAAGUAAGAAGUCAUGACAGAGAAGCUUAUAGGACAAGGAACUGUGCUUCUAGGACUCAGGAGUAGCCACCAACCAGCAAAAUGCCAGCGUCCUUAGUCCUCCAGCUGACAGCUGCAAGCAAGUCAAUUUUGACAGCAAUCAGAAUGAGCUUAGAAGUGGCUUCUUCCCCACUGAAGCCUCCACAUUAAGAAUGCAACCUCAUGAACUCCUUGAUGACUGCCUGGUAAGACCCUUGGCAAACUGCUGAACUGUGCCUGGACUCCUGAGCUGCAGAAACU